rnacentral:SRP_RNA from 2 species
GCCGGGCGUGGUGGCUCAUGCCUGUAAUCCGGCACUCUGGGAGGCUGAGGUGGGCGGAUCACCUGAGGUCAGGAGUUCGAGACCAGCCUAGCCAACAUGGUGAAACCCCAUCUCUA